rnacentral:rRNA from 1 species
AACGCGAAGAACCUUACCUACCCUUGACAUCCUACGAAGGCUGCAGAGAUGCGGCUGUGCCGAAAGGAACGUAGAGACAGGUGCUGCAUGGCUGUCGUCAGCUCGUGUUGUGAGAUGUUGGGUUAAGUCCCGUAACGAGCGCAACCCUUAUCCUUAGUUACCAGCACGUAAAGGUGGGGACUCUAAGGAGACUGCUGGUGAAGAACCGGAGGAAGGCGGGGACGACGUCAAGUCAUCAUGGCCUUUAUGGGUAGGGCUACACACGUGCUACAAUGGGGCGCACAGAGGGAAGCGAACUCGCGAGAGGGAGCCGAUCCGCAAAAACGCCUCGUAGUCCGGAUUGGAGUCUGCAACUCGACUCCAUGAAGUUGGAAUCGCUAGUAAUCGCGAAUCAGAAUGUCGCGGUGAAUACGUUCCCGGGCCUUGUACACACCGUACGUC